GGGGGCGACCUGGUCUCGACGAGGGAAGGAAGCGCCAGACAGCACGCCGCGGAUCCCGUUCUCAGCGUCAAAACGAGCGGGAAAACCAAAAAAGCCAACGACAACGUUGAGCUCGCUCUCGCAGCCUGAGUAAGGCCUAGAGAACGCACUGGCCCCAGGUCUGCUCCUGCGAGGGGAUCCCAGUGAACCUGAUGGAGCUGGCUUGCAUCUGCCUCAGCCCGAGAUGCAAGUGAGAAAAUGGGUCGGGACUUGACGACGGAGUGUGUCCUUGGACGCCGGCGGCAAGUACAAAUCAAGGACUAAGCGUGUAGCGGUUUGUCGGUGAUUUCUUUCGGACGCGGGUUCGAUUCCCGCCGCCUCCAUUA
rnacentral:tmRNA from 1 species